rnacentral:rRNA from 1 species
GCCUAUGGCCAAACCACCCUGAACUUGAUCUUAUCUGGUCUCAGAAGCUAAGCAGUUUAGUUACUAACCAAGUACUGGUUAGUACUUGGGUGGGAGACUGUCUGGGAAUCCUGGGUGCUGUAGACC